AUUGAACGCUGGCGGCAUGCUUUACACAUGCAAGUCGAACGGCAGCGCGGGCUUCGGCCUUGCGGCGAGUGGCGAACGGGUGAGUAAUACAUCGGAACGUGCCCAGUAGUGGGGGAUAGCUCGGCGAAAGCCGGAUUAAUACCGCAUACGACCUGAGGGAGAAAGCGGGGGAUCUUCGGACCUCGCGCUAUUAGAGCGGCCGAGGGCGGAUUAGCUAGUUGGUGGGGUAAAGGCCUACCAAGGCGACGAUCCGUAGCUGGUCUGAGAGGAUGACCAGCCACACUGGAACUGAGACACGGCCCAGACUCCUACGGGAGGCAGCAGUGGGGAAUUUUGGACAAUGGGCGAAAGCCUGAUCCAGCAAUGCCGCGUGUGUGAUGAAGGCCUUCGGGUUGUAAAGCACUUUUGGCGGGAACGAAAAGGACUGUGCCAAUACCACGGUUCGAUGACGGUACCCGCAGAAUAAGCACCGGCUAACUACGUG
rnacentral:rRNA from 1 species